rnacentral:misc_RNA from 1 species
AUGUGCUCCGACCUUAUCGCCUCUAUUUCCAGAAGUUUAUCCCUUUUAUCAACUCUUUUGCUAGUUAUAUCAUAUUUGGGAAUUCUAAUUUACAUAUCCCGGCUGUCCAAAAAAUACCACUUAUUUUUCAGAAUUUUCUACAUGUCAAUGAUUUUCACAAGAUCUCUUCCACCGUUGGUCAGAUCAAUUGGAUACUUUAUUGCCUUGUUUUGCGACUAUUCAGUUCCUCCUUUCGUUUUUACUGCACUUCUGUUGGCGAAAUUUUUUUCAAGAGCUGCAGGCAGGUUUCUCUGGAAUAACUUUGGCCGUCGAUGCAGACAGUGACUUUGGGCAGAAAUACAGCUCACUCAGUUAUGGAGUGUUUUGUAUAGUUACAACCACAAUGCUCUUCUUCGUGAACCGAUCUUUAGUGAAAAAGUCGUCUGCUUCCAAGUGCAAUUUGUCAGAGAGGUAUCAAUUAACGGAAAAUAUCAAAGCAUUGCGACUAUUCCUGCCGUUUUCUAUGGCAAUAUCCGGAAACUCUAUGGUUUUGUCUAUGAGCAUGUUAUUAUUCCAUAUAGAUACCGUAUUCAACUUUCCAAUAUGCCAAAAAGUCCCCAGUUAUGCUCCAAUCUUUCUCUGCAUUAUUUUUACUACUACAAUUAUCAACUUGGCUGCUCCUCUCUACGUAUUUUAUCAUAAUCGUAAAACGCGGAUGCUCCAAAAAAUUGGAGUUGCGGAGAUUCGAAACGUGCUCGGCGUGAAUAUUGUGGGUAAUGGGAUGGGCAACGACGAGCAAUAUUUUCAGCACUACAAGACCGCUUGGGCCUGA